rnacentral:misc_RNA from 1 species
UUGCAAUAAAAAAUGAAUUUUUGCUAGUCAUGUUCGUUCAUUAAGCUGAAUAAGAAGAACAAUAUUUGAGUUACUGAUAUUAAUUUUUUUAAUCAAUAUAUUUGAUAAAAUAAAGAAAUUGGUUAAAGUUGAAAAUAGAAUUUAGCUAAAUAUUAACGUUUCCUUAUUUAACGACAAAAUGAAGUAUUAAUUCCAAAAUCAAAAGGAAAUAGAAUGCAUCUUGUGGGCAAAAUCUACAGUACAAAUGAUGUGAACUGUUUUAAUCUAAAAUUAGUAACUCAUGUCUUAAUUAGAUUGCUUGCAAAUUGAAAUUCUAGGAUCAAUCUUAAUAUAGAAUACGGAAAAUUAUUAUCAAUAGGAAAUCAGUACAUCGUAAUUUUAUGUAUGAAAUUAAAAUUUUAAAUAAAAUCCACAAUGAUUUUAACUAACGUAUCAUUUAUUUGUUGAAUGAUUGCAUAUAGGGGAUAUAGGCAAGAACAACUCAACAUAAUACUAAUUCAAAUAUAGACAGUGUUAAUAUCAAAGUUAAUGUCAGUAUAUAUGUAGUUAGAAAUAUAUUGAUUGUAUAUUAUUUAUGCAGAAGUAUGAUUUACAAACAUUUCUUUUUUCAUAUAUAAUCAGGUCUGAGCUAGUUAAUGAAAUAGUAAAUAUUAUUUGCUAGAAAUUAAGUCACAUCUCUAAAGGUGAUUAUAACAUUGAUAACGUAGUUGGAAUUGAUUUGCGUGUGAAAAAAGUGAAACCAUUGUUAUGCAUUGAAUCAAUAAAUGAUAAACGAGUUGUAGGAAUUUGGAGGAUGGGAGGUAUUGAAAAGACAAUUAUUGCUAAUAUAGUAUUUAGUCGAAUCAUGGAUAAAUUUGAUGGUCAUUAUUUUGUUGCCAAUGUUAGGGAAGAGAUAAUCAACCAAACAUCGGUUGUUUUACGAGGUAAAAUCAUUGAUCAAUUGUUAGGAGAAAAAAUUUACAUAUUGACACUCCUAGUUUACCUCUUUUCAUUAGGAGAAGACUUAAAAGGAAAAAGGUGCUCAUUGUCUUUGAUGAUGUGGGUGAUCCAAACCAUUUAAAGCUUUUAG